rnacentral:rRNA from 1 species
UAUCGAAAUCGAACCUCUAGGAGAGGGGGAGGGGGAGCGUCGCUCCUUCGAACCCUUCCGAGGCUUCAAUGCCUCUCACACCCGUGUGCACCCGCUGUAGGUCCUUCGGGACCUAUGUCUUCUUCGAACUCGCAUGUCUACAGAAUGUCGUCCGUGGCCUCGGCCGCCGUAAACUUAGUACAACUUUCAGCAAUGGAUCUCUUGGCUCUCGCAUCGAUGAAGGACGCAGCGAAUCGCGAUAAGUAAUGUGAAUUGCAGAUUUUCCGUGAAUCAUCGAAUCUUUGAACGCACCUUGCGCUCCUCGGUAUUCCGAGGAGCAUGCCUGUUUGAGUGUCAUCGAAACAUCGAAUCGAAGCUUUCGACCCCGUCGGAAGCUAGGUUCGGACCAUGGGAGUCUGCGGGCGAGAACCUCCCGUCGGGAGGGGGACGUCGGCUCUCCUCGAAAGCAUUAGCGGCGUGUGCGAGCCUCGCGCGGCACGGCCUCUUCGACGUCAUAAUGACCGUCGUGGGCUGGAAGCGCGUGGAUCGCGUCGCUCUCCAACUCUGCGAGCCCGUCUCGGACGGCCGCG